AACGUAGGAGACAAACGUUAUCCGGAGUUACUGGGCGUAAAGGGCGUGUAGGUGGUUUCGUAAGUCUGGCGUGAAAUUUCUCGGCUUAACCGAGGCAGGUCGUCGGAUACUGCGGAACUUGAGGACGGUAGAGGCGUGUGGAAUUCCGGGUGUAGUGGUGAAAUUCGUAGAUAUUCGCAAGAACACCAGUGGCGAAGGCGGCUUACUGGUCCGGUUCUGACGCUGAGGCGCGAAAGCGUGGGGAGCAAACAGG
rnacentral:rRNA from 1 species